rnacentral:rRNA from 1 species
GAUGAACGCUGGCGGCGUGCCUAAUACAUGCAAGUCGAGCGAACAGACGAGGAGCUUGCUCCUCUGACGUUAGCGGCGGACGGGUGAGUAACACGUGGAUAACCUACCUAUAAGACUGGGAUAACUUCGGGAAACCGGAGCUAAUACCGGAUAAUAUAUUGAACCGCAUGGUUCAAUAGUGAAAGACGGUUUUGCUGUCACUUAUAGAUGGAUCCGCGCCGCAUUAGCUAGUUGGUAAGGUAACGGCUUACCAGGGCAACGAUGCGUAGCCGACCUGAGAGGGUGAUCGGCCACACUGGAACUGAGACACGGUCCAGACUCCUACGGGGGGCAGCAGUAGGGAAUCUUCCGCAAUGGGCGAAAGCCUGACGGAGCAACGCCGCGUGAGUGAUGAAGGUCUUCGGAUCGUAAAACUCUGUUAUUAGGGAAGAACAAAUGUGUAAGUAACUAUGCACGUCUUGACGGUACCUAAUCAGAAAGCCACGGCUAACUACGUG